UACGUAGGGUGCGAGCGUUGCCCGGAUUUAUUGGGCGUAAAGGGCGCGUAGGCGGCUACGCACGUCCGUUGUGAAAUCGCUCGGCUCAACUGGGCGGGGUCAGCGGAUACGGCGUAGCUGGAGCAAGCUAGGGGGCAAUGGAAUUCCCGGUGUAGUGGUGGAAUGCGUAGAUAUCGGGAGGAACACCAGUGGCGAAGGCGACUUCCUGGCCUGUUCUUGACGCUGAGGCGCGAAAGCUAGGGGAGCAAACGGG
rnacentral:rRNA from 1 species